AUACGUAGGGGGCGAGCGUUGUCCGGAAUGAUUGGGCGUAAAGGGCGCGUAGGCGGCCCGGUAAGUCUGGAGUGAAAGUCCUGUUUUUAAGAUGGGAAUUGCUUUGGAUACUGUCGGGCUUGAGUGCAGGAGAGGUAAGUGGAAUUCCCAGUGUAGCGGUGAAAUGCGUAGAGAUUGGGAGGAACACCAGUGGCGAAGGCGACUUACUGGACUGUAACUGACGCUGAGGCGCGAAAGUGUGGGGAGCAAACAGGAUUAGAUACCCUGGUAGUCCGCACAGUAAACGAUGAAUGCUAGGUGUAGGGGGUAUCGACCCCUUCUGUGCCGCAGUCAACACAAUAAGCAUUCCGCCUGGGGAGUACGGCCGCAAGGUUGAAACUCAAAGGAAUUGACGGGG
rnacentral:rRNA from 1 species